rnacentral:rRNA from 1 species
AGGCCUACACAUGCAAGUCGAGCGGAUGAGAAGAGCUUGCUCUUCGAUUCAGCGGCGGACGGGUGAGUAAUGCCUAGGAAUCUGCCUGGUAGUGGGGGACAACGUUUCGAAAGGAACGCUAAUACCGCAUACGUCCUACGGGAGAAAGCAGGGGACCUUCGGGCCUUGCGCUAUCAGAUGAGCCUAGGUCGGAUUAGCUAGUUGGUGAGGUAAUGGCUCACCAAGGCGACGAUCCGUAACUGGUCUGAGAGGAUGAUCAGUCACACUGGAACUGAGACACGGUCCAGACUCCUACGGGAGGCAGCAGUGGGGAAUAUUGGACAAUGGGCGAAAGCCUGAUCCAGCCAUGCCGCGUGUGUGAAGAAGGUCUUCGGAUUGUAAAGCACUUUAAGUUGGGAGGAAGGGCAGUAAGCGAAUACCUUGCUGUUUUGACGUUACCGACAGAAUAAGCACCGGCUAACUCUGUGCCAGCAGCCGCGGUAAU